AUGGCCCCUGCACUGCUCCUGGUCCCUGCUGCCCUCGCCUCUUUCAUCCUGGCCUUUGGCACCGGAGUGGAGUUCGUGCGCUUUACCUCCCUUCGGCCACUUCUUGGAGGGAUCCCGGAGUCUGGUGGUCCGGGUAUACUACCAUGUGCUGGGGCUGGGCGAGCCUCUGGCCCUGAAGUCUCCCCGGGCUCUCAGACUCUUCUCCCACCUGCGCCACCCAGUGUGUGUGGAGCUGCUGACAGUGCUGUGGGUGGUGCCUACCCUGGGCACGGACCGUCUCCUCCUUGCUUUCCUCCUUACCCUCUACCUGGGCCUGGCUCACGGGCUUGAUCAGCAAGACCUCCGCUACCUCCGGGCCCAGCUACAAAGAAAACUCCACCUGCUCUCUCGGCCCCAGGAUGGGGAGGCAGAGUGAGGAGCUCACUCUGGUUACAAGCCCUGUUCUUCCUCUCCCCCUGAAUUCUAAAUCCUUAACAUCCAAGCCCUGGCUGCUUCAUGCCAGAGGCCCAAAUCCAUGGACUGAAGGAGCUGCCCCUUCUACUACUUGAGACUUUAUUCUCUGGGUCCAGCUCCAUACCCUAAAUUCUGAGUUUCAGCCACUGAACUCCAAGGUCCACUUCUCACCAGCAAGGAAGAGUGGGGUAUGGAAGUCAUCUGUCCCUUCACUGUUUAGAGCAUGACACUCUCCCCCUCAACAGCCUCCUGAGAAGGAAAGGAUCUGCCCUGACCACUCCCCUGGCACUGUUACUUGCCUCUGCGCCUCAGGGGUCCCCUUCUGCACCGCUGGCUUCCACUCCAAGAAGGUGGACCAGGGUCUGCAAGUUCAACGGUCAUAGCUGUCCCUCCAGGCCCCAACCUUGCCUCACCACUCCCGGCCCUAGUCUCUGCACCUCCUUAGGCCCUGCCUCUGGGCUCAGACCCCAACCUAGUCAAGGGGAUUCUCCUGCUCUUAACUCGAUGACUUGGGGCUCCCUGCUCUCCCGAGGAAGAUGCUCUGCAGGAAAAUAAAAGUCAGCCUUUUUCUACAUA
rnacentral:sRNA from 1 species